UUGAAUUAACUUGUUGGGUUGUAGCUGGCUCCUAGGAGCAUGUGCACACCCUUCAUCGUUUUUCCACCUGUGCACCUUUUGUAGUCCUGGAUACCUCUCGAGGCAACUCGGAUUGAGGGCUUGCAGUGCGAAAGCCGGCUUGCCCUUACAUUUCCAGGACUAUGUUUUCAUACACCCCAAUAGAAUGUUAUAGAAUGUCAUUUAUGGGCUUCACAGCCUUUAAACUUAUA
rnacentral:misc_RNA from 1 species